rnacentral:rRNA from 1 species
GUGCCAGCCGCCGCGGUAAAACGUAGGAGGCGAGCGUUAUCCGGAUUUACUGGGCGUAAAGCGUGUGUAGGCGGUACGGCAAGUUGGAUGUGAAAGCUCCUGGCUUAACUAGGAGAGGUCGUUCAAUACUACCGAACUUGAGGGCAUCAGAGGAAGGUGGAAUUCCCGGUGUAGUGGUGAAAUGCGUAGAUAUCGGGAGGAACACCAGUGGCGAAAGCGGCCUUCUGGGAUGAUCCUGACGCUCAGACACGAAAGCUAGGGUAGCGAACGGGAUUAGAGACCCCGGUAGUCCUAGCAGUAAACGAUGUAGACUUGGUGUCGGAGGUGUCAAAACCUUCGGUAUCGUAGCUAACGCGAUAAGUCUACCGCCUGGGGACUACGGCCGCAAGGUUAAA